rnacentral:rRNA from 1 species
UAGCUAGUUGGUGAGGUAAAGGCUUACCAAGGCGACGAUCUGUAGCGGGUCUGAGAGGAUGAUCCGCCACACUGGAACCGAGACACGGUCCAGACUCCUACGGGAGGCAGCAGUGGGGAAUUUUGACAAUGGGGGCAACCCUGAUCCAGCCAUGCCGCGUGAGUGAAGAAGGCCUUCGGGUUGUAAAGCUCUUUCGGCCGGGAAGAAAUCGCAUGGGCCAAUACCCUGUGUGGAUGACGGUACCGGAAUAAGAAGCACCGGCUAACUACGUGCCAGCAGCCGCGGUAAUACGUAGGGUGCGAGCGUUAAUCGGAAUUACUGGGCGUAAAGCGUGCGCAGGCGGUUUUGUAAGACAGGCGUGAAAACCCCGGGCUUAACCUGGGAACUGCGUUUGUGACUGCAAGGCUAGAGUACGGCAGAGGGGGGUGGAAUUCCACGUGUAGCAGUGAAAUGCGUAGAGAUGUGGAGGAACACCAAUGGCGAAGGCAGCCCCCUGGGUCGAUACUGACGCUCAUGCACGAAAGCGUGGGUAGCAAACAGGAUUAGAUACCCUGGUAGUCCACGCCCUAAACUAUGUCAACUAGGUGUUGGGUGGGUAAAACCAUUUAGUACCGUAGCUAACGCGUGAAGUUGACCGCCUGGGGAGUACGGCCGCAAGGUUAAAACUCAAAGGAAUUGACGGGGACCCGCACAAGCGGUGGAUGAUGUGGAUUAAUUCGAUGCAACGCGAAAAACCUUACCUACCCUUGACAUGCCAGGAACUUGCCAGAGAUGGCUUGGUGCCCGAAAGGGAGCCUGGACACAGGUGCUGCAUGGCUGUCGUCAGCUCGUGUCGUGAGAUGUUGGGUUAAGUCCCGCAACGAGCGCAACCCUUGUCGUUAAUUGCCAUCAUUUAGUUGGGCACUUUAACGAGACUGCCGGUGACAAACCGGAGGAAGGUGGGGAUGACGUCAAGUCCUCAUGGCCCUUAUGGGUAGGGCUUCACACGUCAUACAAUGGUCGGUACAAAGGGUUGCCAAGCCGCGAGGCGGAGCCAAUCCCAGAAAGCCGAUCGUAGUCCGGAUUGCAGGCUGCAACUCGCCUGCAUGAAGUCGGAAUCGCUAGUAAUCGUGGAUCAGCAUGUCACGGUGAAUACGUUCCCGGGUCUUGUACACACCGCCCGUCACACCAUGGGAGCGGGUUCCGCCAGAAGUAGGUAGCCUAACCGCAAGGGGGGCGCUUACCACGGCGGGGUUCGUGACUGGGGUGAAGUCGUAACAAGGUAGCCGUAGGGGAACCUGCGGCUG